rnacentral:rRNA from 1 species
ACGAACGCUGGCGGCAUGCCUCACACCUGCCAGUCGAACGCGACCUUCGGGUCUAGUGGCGCACGGGUGCGUAACGCGUGGGAACCUGCCCUUAGGUUCGGAAUAACUCCCCGAAAGGGGUGCUAAUACCGGAUAAUGUCUUCGGACCAAAGAUUUAUCGCCUUUGGAUGGGCCCGCGUUGGAUUAGCUAGUUGGUAGGGUAAAAGCCUACCAAGGCGACGAUCCAUAGCUGGUCUGAGAGGAUGAUCAGCCACACUGGGACUGAGACACGGCCCAGACUCCUACGGGAGGCAGCAGUGGGGAAUAUUGGACAAUGGGCGAAAGCCUGAUCCAGCAAUGCCGCGUGAGUGAUGAAGGCCUUAGGGUUGUAAAGCUCUUUUACCCGGGAUGAUAAGGACAGUACCGGGAGAAUAAGCUCCGGCUAACUCCGU